rnacentral:rRNA from 1 species
UACGAAGGGGGCGAGCGUUGUUCGGAUUUACUGGGCGUAAAGCGUGCGCAGGCGGCUUUGCAAGACAGAUGUGAAAAUCCCCGGGCUCAACCCGGGAACUGCGUCCGAUACUGACAGGCUUGAAUCCGGGAGAGGGAUGCGGAAUUCCAGGUGUAGCGGUGAAAUGCGUAGAUAUCUGGAGGAACACCGGUGGCGAAGGCGGCAUCCUGGACCGGCAUUGACGCUGAGGCGCGAAAGCCAGGGGAGCAAACGGG